AAAUUGAAGAGUUUGAUCAUGGCUCAGAUUGAACGCUGGCGGCAGGCUUAACACAUGCAAGUCGAACGGUAACAGGAAGCAGCUUGCUGCUU
rnacentral:rRNA from 3 species